rnacentral:misc_RNA from 1 species
AAGGGUGCAUAUCGUACGGUUUGAUGUCAUAAGCGCCUAAAGCACAAGAUGUCAUGGACACAGGACAGGUAAAAGAAGUAGGGAUCUAUAGUAGCAAAAAAUCUGGCCCAUCGUUCACCUUGGGGGGAGGAAUUUGCAGGGAAACUUCGGAGGAGCAUUCUUAAGAAUCUUCGAGAGAAGUUGUGGAGUUCUUGCCUAAUAUUUGGGUUCCUUUCGUAGACUUCGUAUUUGGCUCUUUUUCUCUCCCCCUCUUUCUUGUUCAGAGUUUAGCUUCGUCAACUGUUCAAGAAAAGUGAAGCCCACGUCAGUAAUCUCUUCUUGCUCCUCCAUUUCGUGUUUCUUGGUUCUUUAUUUCGAUUUUUUUUGUGUAUUAAGUGGGAGUUAUAUGAGCUGAUUUGCAGAUUCAACAGGGGAAAGAAAUGGGGGAAAUUGGGAUUUUGUUUGCGUUAUUUAAAAAAGAAAAAAAUUGCUUUUUUGGGAUUUUUUUUUCGCAAUUUUUUUUUUUUAAUUUGUCCGUUUCUUCUGUAAUUGGAUUGUGCGGACCCUAGUUUUUGUAGGCUGUGAAUGGGGAAUUUUACUGUGAUUCUGUUGCUUUAUGUUGGACUUGAUGAAUGUGUGUUUCUCAUUCGGUUUUCUUGAUUCUGAACUUCAAUUGAUGGCGUUUUCUAUGGAGAUUAAGUGUAUUUAAUUUGGUCUUUGUAUGAAAUUUCGUUGCUUUAUAUGGGGGGUUUUUCGUUGCUUUGUUCUAUUCUAGUAGACAAGAUUUUUGUUAAGGGUGUUUAGGUUAGUUUGUCUCUGAUUACAGGCAGUGUCAGUUUGGCUUUUAGAUAUAGAGAUGGCUAGUGGGUUUGGUCAAUCAACAAGCAUGCCGCCUGAAAGUUCGACUUGCUCGGGCAAUAAUGCUAAUGAUGCCGGUGAUUUUGAAUGCAAUAUAUGCUUCGAAUUAGCGCAAGAUCCGAUUGUAACCCUUUGUGGUCACCUCUUCUGUUGGCCUUGCCUGUAUAGAUGGCUACAUCAUCAUUCUCAUUCCCAGGAGUGCCCAGUUUGUAAGGCUCUUAUACAAGAAGAAAAUUUGGUUCCUCUUUAUGGUAGAGGCAAAACACAGACAGAUCCUCGAGCCAAAUCUUAUCCAGGUAUUGAUAUUCCUAGUCGCCCUUCUGGGCAAAGACCUGAAACUGCCCCUCCCCCUCCCCCUCCACAUGAAGCUAAUAACUUUCCCAAUUAUGGGUUUGGAUUGAUGGGGGGAUUCGUACCAAUGGCGACUGCAAGGAUUGGUAACUUUACAUUGUCAACGGCUUUUGGUGGUCUUUCUUUAUUCCCUGCAUUGUUCAAUGUUCAAUUUCAUGGUUUCCCGGAUGCUACAGUAUACAGGACAACAUCUGGUUUUCCAUAUGGAUAUCAUGCAUUUCAUGGUGGCCAUGCACAUGGAUUCCCCCAGCCAAUGAGUCGAGGUCACCAUGCUGAUAAUGUUUUGAAGAAUCUUCUUUUGUUGAUCGUUGUCUUGGUGGUACUUGCUCUGCUUUGGUGGUAAAUCAAUCCUUUACCACUUGAAUUUCAACUGUGAUUAGUCAUGUUGAGGUGUCAUCCUGUGUCUGUAUAUAUGCCAGCUGCUCUGGUGAUUUCCUUUUAUUCUUGCGAAAGAUGUUAAUAGAUACUUUCUGAUUCUGUAGUCAUAAACACUUUUUGAUGGAUUUUAUGUUUUCCAAGAAUGGCUUGCAAAUCGCAUUCACUUUACCAUUUGUAUGUGCAUUUUGUGCUUGUAAAUUUCUUCAGCUUUACAGUUUUCAUUUUUAGCUGACGCAUAGAGACUUAGUUUUAUAAUUAGUUUUAUCAUCUUGUAAAUUUGUUUUUUUUUUUUUUGUCUAAUGUAAUCAUUGUUGUCUGCUUGCUUGGUGCCUCUUCUUUUGGUUGGAGAAUAUGUUCAAACAAUUUCCUUUAGAGAGUUAUACUUGUGAACUGGAAGUGAAUGUUUUGGUAGAAAGCUUCAUUUCUUCAGGUAUUGGAAGCUACAAUCUUACUUGCUCAGAAGUACUUUUACUAUUCAUUUUACUUGUAGAUUUGCUUCAGAUGGUUAUUAGUACUUUUUCAAAUAUAUUGGGGCUUGAGAAGCAUUCGGAAGAUUUCUGGAGGGAAGUUCCAACAUGUAGAGCAUGUUCAAAUUCUUUUUUUUUUUAUUAGAAGAGCAUGUUCAAAUGUGGAGAGAAGUUUUGUACUCUGUUAUUGUCCUGGUCGGUAGUUGGAUAAUACAUAAGAUUUGCAUUACAUUUCAUACAGUGUACAUGCAUAAAGGAAAAUGAUAGUUCAGACAAAUCAUGCUUGAUUACAAAAGCCCUCCUGACGUUCAGGUGCUUGCAGAACUCAUAUGUCUAGUCAGGAGUUUCCUGUUAUGGCCCUUUAUAUUUGCUUAUGCGUCUCUUUGCCUAAGAGAGUAUUCUCUUCGAAUAAAAUGUCCUUCCUAGAUAACAACAUAGGAGUUGUGCUUG